rnacentral:rRNA from 1 species
ACGGAAGGCAGCAGUGGGGAAUAUUGCGCAAUGGGCGAAAGCCUGACGCAGCGACGCCGCGUGAGGGACGACGGCCUUCGGGUUGUAAACCUCUUUCAGCAGGGAUGAAGCGAAAGUGACAGUACCUGCAGAAGAAGCGCCGGCUAACUACGUGCCAGCAGCCGCGGUAAUACGUAGGGCGCAAGCGUUGUCCGGAAUUAUUGGGCGUAAAGAGCUCGUAGGCGGUCCGUCACGUCGGGAGUGAAAACCCGGGGCUUAACCCUGGGCCUGCUUUCGAUACGGGCAGACUAGAGUAUGGCAGGGGAGACUGGAAUUCCUGGUGUAGCGGUGAAAUGCGCAGAUAUCAGGAGGAACACCGGUGGCGAAGGCGGGUCUCUGGGCCAUUACUGACGCUGAGGAGCGAAAGCGUGGGGAGCGAACAGGAUUAGAUACCCUGGUA